UAUAAAUUUAAAUUAAAAAACUUAAUGAUUAAUAGUUAUGAUCUUUAAAGUUAAAUAAUUUGGCGGUAUUUUAGUCUUUUCAGAGGAACCUGUUCUAUAAAUGAUAAUCCACGAUUAAGUUAUCUUAAAUUAGAAAUUUAUAUAUCAUUGUUAUUAAAUAUUUUUUUAGAAUUAAAUAUUUAAAAAAUAUAAUUUUAUUUUAAUUCAGAUCAAGGUAUAGUUUAUAUUUAAGAAGAAAUGGGUUACAAUAUUAAUAAAUUUGAAUUUUAAAUUUAAAAUUUAAAUGAAAUUGGAUUUGAAAGUAAUUAUUUUAUAUCAAUAAUGAUUAAGCUCUAAAAUAUGC
rnacentral:rRNA from 1 species